rnacentral:rRNA from 1 species
UACGUAGGGUCCGAGCGUUGUCCGGAAUUAUUGGGCGUAAAGGGCUCAUAGGCGGUUUGUCGCGUCGGGAGUGAAAACACGGGGCUUAACCCCGUGCCUGCUUCCGAUACGGGCAGACUAGAGGUAUGCAGGGGAGAACGGAAUUCCUGGUGUAGCGGUGAAAUGCGCAGAUAUCAGGAGGAACACCGGUGGCGAAGGCGGUUCUCUGGGCAUUACCUGACGCUGAGGAGCGAAAGUGUGGGGAGCGAACAGG